rnacentral:rRNA from 1 species
CCCUUAGAUGUUCGGGGCCGCACGCGCGCUACACUGAAGGAAUCAGCACGUCUCUCUCCUUGUCCGAAAGGACUGGGUAACCCGCUGAACCUCCUUCGUGCUAGGGAUUGGGGCUUGUAAUUCUUCCCCAUGAACGAGGAAUUCCCAGUAAGCGCGAGUCAUAAGCUCGCGUUGAUUACGUCCCUGCCCUUUGUACACACCGCCCGUCGCUACUACCGAUUGGAUGGUUUAGUGAGAUCCUCGGAUUGGUCCCGGCGCGGCCUCUGGUCGUGCCGGAGUGCCGAAAAGAAUGUCGAACUUGAUCAUCUAGAGGAAGUAAAAGUCGUAACA